rnacentral:lncRNA from 1 species
GUCAGCCGAGCCAUCUUUCCUCCUCUUGUUCUGUGCCUUGCCUAAGGACAAACUCAACAAAUGCAGGUAUUGGUGCUUAACAAUCUGAUUUUUAUUAACUGCCUUAACAACUUGAAUUUUAUUCAGAAAGUCUUCAUCAUUCAGAGACUUAGGAAAUAUUCUCCAGGUUCUUUACUUGGAGAUUUCCAAAGGUAGAGACAAGAUAGCUGAGAAAACCAGAGCAGCUCUGUGCCACCACGAGAAUCCUUUCUUACCAAGAUUAAAAAAUCCCCCCCCCAAAUAAUACAGGAGUGAAAGAACUAAGAAGGAGACAGAGUUAUUUUCAAGGAAAAUUUUCAAGGAAAGAAAAACCUUAAAAGAUAGGCAAAGAACAUUUGGAGUACUGGGGUGAGAAAUGAGCAGAGCCAGCAAGAAGUUGUAGCAAGAAGGGAAGAGCAAGACAAGAGCAAGCCACCCACUCCCACACCACAUAUUCUGUCUGAGUUAUGGGAACCUAUGCCCAAGCCAACAUGCAUAUCCUAAGAUGCUGUCUGGGCAAAUAGUGGUGGAAGCUAAAUCAUACCCUUGAAAUUUCAAACCUGUGUAGAAGUCCAGAGUCCCAGUCCAGGGAAUCUUAGUCUGAGCUUGGUAUAAUGACUUAGUUCACACUUUAGGGAGAGUGAUAGUAUUAAGUACUGAUCUUUUUGCUUAAAGCUCAGUGCAGGAGCUGGAAGACAGGGCAAUCAAGGGUGUGCCUAAUAGGAUCAAGUAUACAUAGUGGGAACAAAAACUUGAACCUAAGCCUGGGGCUAGAAUUUGAUCAGCCCCUGACCUGAUCAAUAUCAUAGUGAGAUCAAAAGCUUACACCUAAGCCUUAGGCAUGUCUUUAAGCUAUUGGUAUAAAUUGAAUCAUGAGGGUGAUUGGGCUUUCAUAACUCUCAGCCUUCAGACCAUCACAUCAUCCUCCUAGCUGAUUCCUUGGCGACCUUAAAUUAAUAUAUAUCAGUCUUUUAAAGUGAUUCCCUUGUAACAGAAUUUACCAAGAAAGAGGGUGGGAAUGUAAACUGAUUAUGAUGAUAUGUUGUAUGUGAUAAUGUAAGAUAAUAUAAUAGGUAUACAAAUAUUAUUAUAUGAAAUUAUAUGUAUACAUGAUAUGUAUG